UGGGGAAUUUUGCACAAUGGGGGAAACCCUGAUGCAGCGACGCCGCGUGAUUUAGAAGGCCUUCGGGUUGUAAAAAUCUUUUCUAUGGGAAUAAAAUGACAGUACCAUAGGAAUAAGGACCGGCUAAUUACGUGCCAGCAGCCGCGGUAAUACGUAAGGUCCGAGCGUUGUCCGGAAGCAUUGGGCGUAAAGGGUACGUAGGCGGGUAAGCAAGUUAGAAGUGAAAUCCUAUAGCUCAACUAUAGUAAGCUUUUAAAACUGCUCAUCUUGAGGUAUGGAAGGGAAAGUGGAAUUCCUAGUGUAGCGGGGAAAUGCGCAGAUAUUAGGAGGAAUACCGGUGGCGAAGGCGACUUUCUGGCCAUAACCUGACGCUGAGGUACGAAAGCGUGGGUAGCAAACAGG
rnacentral:rRNA from 1 species